AUUGAACGCUGGCGGCAUGCUUUACACAUGCAAGUCGAACGGCAGCACGGGCUUCGGCCUGGUGGCGAGUGGCGAACGGGUGAGUAAUAUAUCGGAACGUACCCAGAAGUGGGGGAUAACGUAGCGAAAGUUACGCUAAUACCGCAUACGAUCUAUGGAUGAAAGCAGGGGACCGCAAGGCCUUGUGCUCCUGGAGCGGCCGAUAUCUGAUUAGCUAGUUGGUGAGGUAAAGGCCCACCAAGGCGACGAUCAGUAGCUGGUCUGAGAGGACGACCAGCCACACUGGAACUGAGACACGGUCCAGACUCCUACGGGAGGCAGCAGUGGGGAAUUUUGGACAAAGGGCGCAAGCCUGAUCCAGCAAUGCCGCGUGAGUGAAGAAGGCCUUCGGGUUGUAAAGCUCUUUUGUCAGGGAAGAAACGGUAGAGGCUAAUAUCCUUUGCUAAUGACGGUACCUGAAGAAUAAGCACCGGCUAACUACGUG
rnacentral:rRNA from 1 species